GUGCAGUAAUUCUAGUUAUCUCACAGAUACAGGUGGCAACAAGAAGCUUAACCUCCCUAUCUUGAUGCUUUAGGAGUUCUGGUUUAACUAUAGCAGAUUGUAAGGGCUGCAUGGCUUCCAACAUAGCUUUUGGCGGCGACUGCUCCAACUCAGAAAGAAAUGUUGAACCUUGCUUUAAGAGUUUGAUAAGUGAGUCUUUACUAGUAGGAGGGUUUUCAAGCUUGGAUCCGAGCUCCUUGAGCUGAAGUUGGAGCUUCGAAGCCAUAGUCUCUGUUGUUUUCUGUUCCAACAGAGAGUUUUAGGACAUUUAGCUCCGGAGGUGUAGGUAGGCUUUUU
rnacentral:misc_RNA from 1 species